rnacentral:rRNA from 1 species
CCUACGGGUUGCAGCAGUGGGGAAUAUUGGACAAUGGGCGCAAGCCUGAUCCAGCCAUGCUGCGUGAGUGAAGAAGGCCUUAGGGUUGUAAAGCUCUUUCACCGGUGAAGAUGAUGACGGUAACCGGAGAAGAAGCCCCGGCCAACUUCGUGCCAGCAGCCGCGGUAAUACGAAGGGGGCUAGCGUUGUUCGGAAUUACUGGGCGUAAAGCGCGCGUAGGCGGAUAGAUAAGUCAGAGGUGAAAUCCCGGGGCUCAACCCCGGAAUUGCCUUUGAUACUGUUUAUCUUGAGUGCAGAAGAGGUAAGUGGAAUUCUGAGUGUAGAGGUGAAAUUCGUAGAUAUUCGGAGGAACACCAGUGGCGAAGGCGGCUUACUGGUCUGCAACUGACGCUGAGGCGCGAAAGCGUGGGGAGCAAACAGGAUUAGAUACCCGCGUAGUC